rnacentral:tRNA from 1 species
GGAAGUGUAGCUCAGUAAUAGAGUGUGUACCUAGCAUGCAUGGGCCCUGAGUUCGAUCCCCAGCACCACCA